rfam:Triticum aestivum genome assembly, contig: Triticum_aestivum_CS42_TGACv1_scaffold_095988_2AL
CAAGUACUCCCUCCGUCCGGAAUUACUUGUCAUCAAAAUGGAUGUGUCAUGAACUAAAAUACAUCUAGAUACAUCCAUUUCAAUGACAAGUAUUUUUGGACAGAGGGAGUACAAG